CCAUAGUUUCCCCUUUAGUGAUAAGUAAGCUAAAGCUAUGAGUAAAGCUUGGGGCCCAACAAGUGUGAGGACCCGAGUCCAUAUCCCCAGAACUGACAAAAGCCAACAGGACAGUUCAUAUCUUUAAUUUCAGAGCAGGAGAAUCCCUUGAAAUGUGAGGGCUAAAUAGGCAUGCAAACAGAACAACAGGCAUCAGAGAGCCCUGUCUCAAGGUGAAAGGUGAGGACUCACACCCGACUCUGUCCUUGUUCUUUUAAAAGUAUGUCAGAUUCUGCACACACACAGACACACAGUCACAGACGCACAGGCACACACAGACACAGACAGACACACAUACACGUACACACACAUGUACGCACACAUACACAAGUUUAAAAAGCUAUAAAUACAUUUAAAUUGGAACAUUAAUAUCCACUAUUCUUGAAUGUUUUUAUAUGGAUAAAAACUAACUAAAGUGAAUUAUUCAUGCUAAUUAAUUUGUUCGCAGUUAACAAAGUUUGUUUUUUUGUAUCUCAGUUUUAUAAUGACAGUCUAGGCAUAAUUCCUAGAACUCUCCUCAGCAUUGUUUAUCUGGAAAGUGGACAUUUCAGGAUUUGUACACAGGGAGCGUGAUGAACCAUAACUUUAAUCACUUUCUAGAAGCUGAGCAAAUUCCUAUCCUGAAGCCACUGUCUCAAAACACUGUCUGUCUGAGUGAAUCUACUGGUCAUUUCCCAGGAACCUCUUAGCAGGGACACAACUGAUUUCCCAGUUCCCAUAACCCAUUAGUGCACAUCUGGAUUGAAACCCAGGAACAUUGCUUUUUAUUUAACCCUUCAUACAGAUGUAAUUUGGCGUGCAUGUGGCUGAGUUUAAAAACAUGAUUUUUUUUAAUGUGAAUAGCUUUUCACACCCCAAACCCUCUUCACAGAGUUAAUAAUAUCAGGUGAGAGACCACAGUACUUGUUUUUAUGUAAGAAAGCCGUGUUGUAAGUCUUAGCUAGAAAACCUUGCCUGGGUCACUACUACCUCAGCUCAAACUGCCUGGAGAAAAGCUUCUUGAUUUGAGAUGGAAGAAAGGAUUAAACUCCCAUGAUAGACUUAAAAUCUAGAUCAGGCUCUCUAUCAUGAAAUCUGAUGCUGGUCAUGGGCCUAUGCACUGUGUCUGAUGUUGGCACUUGUAGACUCAACAGCUAGAACCAUAGAAGCCAGGCAACUGACUGUUUCUACUACCCCUACCUCGGCUAUGGCCAGCAGACGGCACAACUGGAUCCUUCUCUCUGGAGACUAGACACAAAAGUUACCAAGGAACUGAGCUCAAAGGAGGUCUGCUAUGGCUAGAUUGAAGACCAGACAGAGAACAAGCAUCCUUAGCUAUCCCAAAGUUCUGAGAGCCUCUAGGUCUUCCCUGGCAUUGAGCAGAGACAUGCGCACUGGUGAGAGACUACCCAACUUUGGUCUGCAUCGUUGCCUGCUUUGCAGUGGGCCUGGAAUACCCCUGGAACAGCCCUGGCAGUUGCCUUGGUUUCACGUUAGUGAUGACAUGAAUAAGACAUACAUCAGUGAAAGUUUCUGCCUGUCCCAGUUAAACACACUCAAGGCAUUUCGAUGUGCUCUGCUCUGCUCUGCCCGGGUUGCAUGUGAAUCUCCAAUUUGUUGACAUAAAAAAUUUGGAAAUUCCAGAAAAAGACUGACAACUAGGUGAAGAGGAGAAAAUUUUAAAUCGCAUGAGCUGAUCGCUUUCCUGGCAUAGUUCUUGGGAUUCUGUGCCUAGAUCCUUGUAUCAUCAGGCAGAAGUGGUUCUAUUUUCCACCUUUCUGAGCCUGGUAUCGUCCGUUUAUUUUGUUUCAGUAUUAUAUAUUCGUGAUUUGUCAUUGCGUAAAGAUUUUCCUACCACUUGUGGAGCAGCCACGAUGCCAGAGAACAUCUUUUUCUUGCUUUCAAAUUUAAGGAAAAAGCCUUAAGAUUUCCAUGAUUCAGUAAAGAUGACAGCUAUGCAUUGUCCAUGUUUCUUUCCAUCAGAUUAAGAUAAUUAAAGACCCAGCUAUACCACUCCUGGGCAUAGUACAAAAGAUGCUUCAACAUAUAACAAGGACACAUGCUCUACCAUGUUCAUAGCAGCCUUAUUUAUAAUAGCCAGAAGCUGGAAGCAACCCAGUUAUCCCUCAACAGAAGAAUUCAUACAGAAAAUGUGAUACAGACUAUUCAGCUAUCAAAAACAAUGACUUCAUGAAAUUCGAAGGCAAAUGGAUGGAACUAGAAAAUAUCAUUUUGAGUGAGGUAACGCAGUUGCAAAAGAACACACAUAGUAUAUACUCACUGAUAAGUGGAUAUUAUCCCUAAAGCUCAGAAUACCCAUGAUACAACCCACAAACCAUAAGGAGCUUAAGAAGAAGGAAGGCCAAAGUGUAGCUGCUUCAACCCUACAUAGAAUGGGAAAGAAAACAUCACAGGAAGUAGAGGGAGAGAUGGACUUGAGAGGGAGAAAGGAGGGGGGAAGAAAAAAGGGGAAGCAGGAUCAGGUAUGGGAAGGGACAGAGAGAAGUACAGCCUGUCAGGAAAUUGAAUAGAAACAUGUAGCAGUGGGGGAUGCGGAACUAGGGACAGCCACUAGAGAGUCCCAUAUUCCAGGGAAGCAAGAGGCUCCCAGUACCCAAUGGUGGUUGAUGACUUUAAUCAAAACACCCAAUGAAAGGGAGAUAUAACCUGUAGAGACCAUAUCCAGUAGAUAGGCAUGGUCCCCAGUUGAGGGGAAAAUAAAAAAAUAAAAAAAUAUUCAUAUUUUCCUGGUUUGGUUAUAAAUGAAGCCUAUAUUUUGUGAAAUGUUUUCUCUGCUUCAUCUUGAUUGUGCAUUCACAGAAUUUUCCACAGGUGGUAUGUUUAUACUAAUUUCCCCAGAUACUGAACUCAUAUUGUGUUAUUUAGAAUAAAUCAUACCUACUACUGUUGCAUAAUUAUUGAAUUCAAUUUCUGAACAGUAUGUGGAGAUUCUAUUUUAAAACAACAACCAAAAGAAAAAAGAAAAAAAGAAAAAAAAAGAAAUGCCAGGAUACACACUUUUCUUUGGUAUGUAAAAUUUAUAUUGUCUGUGUCUGAUUUAGAUACCCAAUUAAUAUCAACCUCAACAUUUUAUUUUUAUAUGAAUAUAUAACUUUGAGGUUUCCUUUACUCAACCUUUGUGUUAAACUAUGUAAUUAUUUUUAUGAAAAUUUCAUUUUAAUAUUAGAUAUUCUAGGGUGAUUAUAUUAUAAGAUUACGGUAGUUGUUGGACAUAUUACUACAGUUAUUUUCACCUUUGUACAGUGAAACCAAAUUUAUUAGCUCCCCUGACCUUACUAAUUUGAAGGAGGAAAGGUAGGGCCACUUGCUUCCCCUUUCCUGAGAUGUCAGUUUUUUAACACUGGGAGGAUGACAUGAUUGGCCUUCCCCACAACUCCUCACUGACUACGACAUCAGCUACACAUUGAAGCACCUGUUCUGUAUAAGGGCAGCUUAUAGUCUUCCUUUUAAUGUAAGAAAAACCAACUGAACAAACAGAAAAGCACUGCAGGCCAGAAGGCAAAAGCAGCCUCUCCCAGGCAUAUCCUCCUAACGAGCCCUUGUCAUGUGAAGGAGGGUCAGUCAAAUGCCCUCUAGGUAAAGUGUCCAUACUUGUGAUGCAACUACCCAGGCUUGCCGAUAGAAUACUGAUGCACUGCUCCAAACCCUGCACAACAUUAAGAGCUCGCCGUGUGCGGGGUUUUAAGACAACAUAUGCCUUAACAUUUGGCCUGCUGGCAGUGUUCCAAAGAUGAUGGACAACUAUAUAAGGAUCUGUAAAAUUCCGCCUUUCUUGAGUUGAAUGCCUUCACUAUUGACAGUGGAUAUAUAUUUAUGCAUAUGUGGGUAUGUGUAGAUAAGAAAGCAUGCAAUAAUAAUCAUACUCUGAGUACCGAACCAUAAAAUUGUUUGAAUAUUGUUUUAAAUACAUAUAAUUUUCAGAGACUUCAUUACAUGUGCAUAGAAUAAGUCCUGUAUGUAACUUUGAUAGGUUCCAGAAUUAGGAAGCUUUUAUAUAAAUGCUUGGGUAUGAUCUCUCAGAAUUCUGAUUGACUGAAAGGUCAUAUCAUGCCCAAAUGUGGUGAUGCAUUUGAGAUACUAUGGCAGAAAUGUUACUGUUCGUUCAGGACCAGCCUAGGCUAUGCAGUAAAUUUGGGCUACAUUGUGAGACCGUCUCUAAAAGAAAAAAAGCAUGGAUCUGAAUAUGCCACACAGUCUAUUCUACAUGUUGCCUAAUGGGCAAGAUGUCUUCCUCUGGGUGAUACCCUCAGCCUAACAUCGUAUGUGCCAGUGAUGUUUUUGUUGUUGUUGUUUGUUUAUUUUUUGUUUUUGAAUUGUCUUCAUUUCAAUUUGAUAAUUAGAAUUAAUAGAAAUUAAGUCUGCCAAUGUCACUUUACAUUAACAAUUUAAGACUAGGAUUCCGAGAUCAGUGGCCUGGCUGAUACCAACCCAAACUUUGCAGCCUUCCUGCUUCCCAGGAGAUCCUCAGUAACCAAGGAAACAGGUGAGAAUUCUGCCCAAAUAGCCACAGCAGCUGGAACAUCCAUACAGCCCAGCAGACAAGGAACAUACCCCCUGCCUCACCGCCCUGAGCUCUAUCUCCCUCUGGCCUACUUCGUCACCCAGACCAGACAAGUGCCCAGAUACCCACCCAAACUCUACAGUCUGUGGGUCUCCCAGGAGGUCCACAGUAAUCAGGAGCACAGGAGGUACACAGUAACCAGAAACAACACUGACUGACUCCAAGGAGACCAGCUCUAACUCAGGUCACAGAGCUCUAUCUGUCUGCAAGGAAACAGAUUCCACUCAGAAACACCAGGGCAGUUAACACCAGAGAGAAGCAGAUGGCUAGAUGCAAGUGCAAGAUUAUAAGCGACAGAAUCCAAUGCAAUUUGGCACCAUCAGAACCCAGUUCUCUCACCACAGAAGACCAGAAUACCCUAACAUGCAUGAAAACCAAGAUACUGACCAAAAAUCCCAUCUCAUGAAGAUGACAGAGAUCUUUAAGGAGGAUAUAAAGAACUCCCUUAGAGAAAUACAGGAAAAUACAAUCAAGCAAAUGAGGAAAUUGAACAAAAAGGCCCAAAAACUGAAAAUAGAAAUAGAAACAAUAAAGAAAACACAAAGGGAGAUAAACAACUUAGUAAAGAGACCAGGAGCUACAGAUGCAAGCGUCACCAACAGAAUACAAGAGAUAGAAGAGAGAAUCUCAGGCAUCGAAGAUACCAUAGAAAAUAUUGACACAUUGGUCAAAGAAAAAAAGCUCCUAAUCCCAAAUUUCCAGAAAAUUCAGGGCACAGUGAAAACAUCAAACCUAAGAAUAAUAGGAAUAGAUGAUGGUGAAGAAUCCCAGUUCAAAGGGUCAGAAAACAUCUUCAACAAGAUCAUAGAAGAAAACUUCCCUGACCUAAAUAAAAAGAUGGCCAUAGAUGUGUAAGAAGCCCGCAGAACAACAAAUAGAUUAGACCAGAAAAGAAAAUCCUCUCAUCACAUUAUAAUAAAAAUGUUAAAUGCACAGAACAAAGGAAGAAUAUUAAAAGCUGUAAGGGAAAAAGGCCAAGUAUCACAUAAUAGGCAGACCUAACAGAAUUAUAACAGACUUCUCAACAGAGACUCUAAAAGCCAGAAAAUCCUGGACGGAUGUCACCCAGAAGACCCUAAGAGAACAUAAAUGCCAGCCCAGGAUACUAUACCCAGCAAAAUUCUCAAGCAUCAUAGAUGGAGAAACCAAUAUAUCCAUGGCAAAAACAAAUUUAAACAAUAUCUUUCUACUAAUCCAGCUGUACAGAGGAUACUGGAAUGAAAUCUUCAACACAAGGAAGGUAACUAUACUCAUGAAAACACAAGAAGGAAAAAGGUCAACAACAAACCCAAAGGAAGAGAGUCACACACAUACCACUUUCAGCAACAAAAAUAAUAGGAAUUAACAAUCAUGUAUUGUUAAUAUCUCUCAAGAUCAAUGGACUCAAUCACUCAGUAAAAAACACAGACUAACAGACUGUAAUUGUAAACAAGACACAGCAUUUGCUGCAUAUAAGAAACACACUCCAAUGACAAAGAUAGACACUACUUCAGAGUAAAGGGCUGAAAAAAUUUUCCAAGCAAAUGGUCCCAAGAAACAAGCUGAAAUAGCUAUUCCAAUGUCCAACAAAGUAGACUUUCAACCAAAAGUUAUCAAAAAAGAUGGGGAAGAACACUACAUAAGAUAGUAUGGAUAGUACACUGGAUAAGCUCUCAAUUCUGAACAUUUAUGCCCCAAAUGCAAGGCCGCCCACAUUUGUAAAAGAAACAUUACUUAAGCUCAAAGCACACAUUGUACCCUACACAAUAGUAGUGGGAGACUUCAACACCCCACUCUCACCAAUGGAUAGAUUAUGGAAACAGAAACUAAACAGAGUAAAAGUGAAACUAACAGAAGUUAUGAACCAAAUGGAUUUAACAGGUAUCUACAGAACAUUUCACCCCAAAACAAGAGAAUAUAAUUUUUUUCUCAGAACCUCAUAGAACCUUCUCCAAAAUUGACCAUAUAAUUGACAUAAAACAAGCCUCAACAGAUACAAAUAGAUUGGAAUAAUCCCAUACAUUCUAUUAAAUCACCGAGGACUAAGGCUAGAUGUCAAUAACAACAAAAACAAUAGAAAGCACACAUACUCCUAGAAACUGAGUAACACUUUGCUCAUUGAUAACUUGGUCAGGGAAGAAAAAAAGAAAGAAAUUAAAGACAAUAGAAUUCAAUGAAAAUGAAGAGACAGCAGACCUAAACUUAUGGGACACAAUGAAAUCAGCGUGAAGAGGAAAAUUCAUAGCUUAAGUGCCUUCAUAAAUCAAUGGAAGAGAUCCCGUACAAGCAACUUAACAACACACCUGAAAAGCUCUAAAACAAAAAGAAGCAAACACACCCAAGAGGAUUCCAUGGCAGAAAAUAGUCAAUCUCAGGGCUAAAAUCAACCAGAUAGAAAUAAAGAGAACAAUACAAAGAAUGAACAAAACCAAGAGCUGGCUCUUGGAGAAAGUCAACAAUACAGAUAAACCUUUAGCCUCACUAACUUAAGGGUACAAAGACAGUAUCCAAAUUAACAAAAUCAGAAAUGAAAGGGAGGCAUACAACAGAACUCAUGGAAAUUUUAAAAAAUUAUCAGAACCUACUACAAAAGUCUAUACAAAACUGGAAAAUCUAGAUGAAACGGAUGAUUUUUCUAGACAGAUGCCACAUAUCAAAGUUAAAUCAAGAUCAGGUAAGCUAUCUCAACUGUCCCAUAACCACUAAGCAUAUAGAAAUAGGCAUUUUAAACCUUUCAACUAAAACCCAAGGCCAGAUAGUUUUUGUGCAGAAUUCUGUCAGACCUCAAAGAAGAACUAAUACCAUUACUCCUCAAACUAUUCCACAAAAUAGAAGCAGAAGAAAUACUACCUAAUUCAUUGUAUGAAGCCAGAGUUACUCUGAUAUCUAAACCACACAAAGACUCAACAAGGACAGACAACUUUGGACUAAUCUCACUAAUGAAUAUAAUGCAAAAAUACUCAAUAAAAUUCUCCAAAUGAAAUCCAAGAACACAUUAGAACCAUUAUUCACCAUGAUCAAGUAGGCUUCAUCCCAGGGAUGCAGGGAUCAUUCAAUAUACAAAAAUCCAUCAACGUAAUACAAUAUAAAAACAAACUCAAGGAAAAAAAAUGAUCUUUUCAUUAGUGCUGAAAAAGCCUUCAACAAAAUACAUUAGCCCUUCAUAUUAAAAACCGUGGAGAGAUCAGGAAUUCAUGGCAACAUACCUAAAUGUAAAAAAAGCAAUAUAUAGCAAAUCAACAGCCAACAUCAAAUUAAAUGGAGAGAAACUAGAAACAAUCCCACUAAAAUCAGGACAAAGUUGCCCACUCUCUCCAAAUCUAGUCAAAAUAGUACUUGAAGUUUUAGCUAGAGCAAUUAGAUAACAGAAGGAGAUCAAGGGGAUAAAAAUUGGAAAGGAAGAAGUUGAAGUGUCACUAUUUGCAGAUAAUAAGAUACUAUACAUAAACAACCUCCAAAAUUCCAUCAGAGAAAUACUACAGCUAAUAAACAACUUCAGCAAAAGGGCAGGAUAUAAAACUCAAACAAGUCAGUAGCAUUCAUUUAUAUAAAUGCUAAACAGCAUGAGAAAGAAAGUAGGGGAAAGUACCCUUGACAAUAGCCACAAAUAAUAUCAAAUACCUCGGUAUAAGUCUUACCAAGCAAGUGAAAGAUCUGUACGGCAAGGACUUCAAAUCCCUGAGGAAAGAAAUUGAAGAAGACCGGAGACGAUGGAAACAUCUCCCAUGCUCAUGGAUUGACAGGAUUAUCAUAGUGAAAAAACAAUCUGCAGAUUCAAUGCAAUCUUCAUCAAAAUUCCAACACAACCCUUCACAGACACGGAAAGAGCCAUUCUCAAUUUCAUAUGAUAAAAUAAACAAAACAGGAGAGGCCAAACAAUUCUCAGCAAUAAAAGAAUGUAUGAGGGAAUCACAAUCCUUGAUCUCAAGUCUCAAGCUGUACUACGAAGCAAUAGUGAUAGAAAAACAAAACAAAACAAAACAAAACAAAACAAAACAAAACAAAACAAAAAGUCCUGCCUGGUAUUGGUACAGAGACAGACAGGUUUUUCAAUGGAAUAGAAUUGAAGACCCAGGGCUGGAGAGAUGGCUCAGCGGUUAAGAGCACUGACUGCUCUUCCAGAGGUCCUGAGUUCAAUUCCCAACAACCACAUGGUGGUUCACAACCAUCUGUGAUGGGAUCUGAUGGCUAAUUCUGGUGUGUCUGAAGACAGUUACCGUAUGUGCAUAUACAUAAAAUAAAUAAAUCUUAAAAAAAAAAGAAUUGAAGACCCAGAAGUAAACCCAUACACUUAUGAACACUUGAACUUUGACACAAAUGCUAAAAUCAUGUCUGACUGGUUUGACCUCAGUGGGAAAAGAUAAGGCUUAUCCUUAAGAGACUUGAGGAACCAGGGAAUGGGGAGGUCUGGAGUCGGGAGUCCCUUCUUGGAGGCAAAGGGGAGGCAGAAAGGAGUAAGGAACUGUGUGAGGGGGACUGAGGGGGACAAUGUAGAUAAUAAUGUAAUGUAAUAAUGUAAUGUAAAUAAAUCAAAUAAUUUAAAUUUAAAGAGACUAAGAUUCCACUAUUUUUUAAUAUUUUUGCUUAAAAAUCAGAUUUAUUUUUGUGUCUGGAAAAAUUACAUGUAAGACAUUUCUUAUGUAUUAUUAUUUUCACAAUUUUAUCAAGUUUAUCAUCUGUGAACUUUGGCCUCUUAAAUCAAACCCACAAAUUUACCUAUUUUUACUCAUUUUCCAUCAUUUACCUUUCGUCUGACUUUCUGAGAAAUUUUUGCCAGUUUUGCCUUUUUAGCCUCUCUAUUAAGUUUUAUUUCAAGCACUAUAAUUUAAUAACCAAGAGGCUUAUCAUAUUCUCUUACUUUUUAAUAAAAGCCUGUUGUUAGCUCAUGGAUACUUUAUCUAAUCUUGUCUCUCUGGAGGCAUUAGCUUUUACCUGUUUUGUCCGUUGUUUUUGUAUUAUGCUCUUCUUUCUUGUUUGUUUCUUCUCGUUGUCUUUGGUGUAGAAUUUCCAUAGCAUCUGUUGAUCAGUGCUGGCUGUAAUUUCUGAGCAGAUGGAGCCAUGGAACUGUCUAUGGCUUUGUGAACCUAGUUGGGGCUAGAACUCUUUGGAGAUUUUUUUUCUCACACAGAACACCUUACAGCAUCUGCAGAUUGUUAACAAUAAUAUUGCUCUGUUACAUUGAGGAUGCUACUGGAAUCUGUUAGGCAAAGGCCAGGGAUUCAAUUUCCUAUGAUAUAAAUGAUGCUCCCCACAACAAGGAAUUGUAUGGAGUUCAACGUCUCUGGUGCCACUUUGCUCAUUCCUUAUGUACAGUAGACAGAAAGCAAAGUCUAUCUUUAGUUAUCUUCCAAAUUCAUGUCUGUGGAAUUUUCCUUUUAUGCCGAUGACUUUCGCAAAGGAUAAUUCCCAGCUCCCCAUGUGCUUUAGAUGAGCAAAAUGAUGCUUUAAACAUUUAUGCUUUAAAACAACACUCAAAAAGCAUAUUCAUUUUCAGACUGAAAACACAUAAACUGUAAUCAAUUAUAGAUAUUACUCAGUAUUCACUAUAUAUUUUGGAUCCUCGUCUCCCAAAUAAAAACAAAUUUUAUGAAUCUGUACGCAUUUGGUAUCCCAGAUUUCCUAAAAGUAGUCAAAACCUUAUUUAAUCAGAUUUGUAUUGAAAAGAAAAUGUGAGUACUUUUCAGCUAGAUUCUGAUAGGAAUGCCUAAUCUCAAUGUCAGUCUAGGAUGAUAAAUCAAGCAACAGGUGGCUGCAAGGAUGAGAAGAUGUUGGCAAUGGCCAACUUGAGACAUAUAAGUGAGAAAUCACUGCAUAAAUAAUUGGGUAUGUGUGACAAAGUGUUAUUCAGUUAUUAAUAGUGGUGCAUCUGUGGUACUUUGCAUAACAAUGGUUCUCAUAAACUCACAUGUUUCAGUACUGGUUGGUUUGGGAAGGACCAAGGAGAUGUGGCCUUAUUGGUGUGUUAUAGGGAGCAUCUUCGAGGUUCCAGAAGACUGACGCUGUUCUCAGUGUGCUCUCUGUCUCCUGUUGUGGAUCAAGAUGUGAGCUCUUAGCUGCUGCUCCAGCCUCCUGUUGCCCUGCUUUUGCUUUGCCACCAUGGAUUCUAAUUCUCUGGCACUGUAAGCCCAACCAAACUCUUUCUUUCUUGAUUUGCCUUUUUCAUAGUGCCUUAUCACAGCGAUAUGAAAAUAACUAGUAUAGUAUCCAUGACUGGAGAAGAAAUAUAUGACUUGAUACUGAAGGAUACAAAUGUAGCUUUAAAACAAAUUGUGCCGGUAAUUAUCAAAAUCAAAUGUACACAUACCUACCACCUAGUGAGCUCACUGUGUAGCUAUUUGUAAUGUGAGAACCUUCCUAUUUUUAAUACACAAAUCUGUUUAAGUUUCCUCAUUGUCUGUGACACAAGAAAUAGCUGUAGUGUGUGACGAUGAACACUUGUCUAGAUAAAGCCUAAGAAUCAUGGUAUUGGCACGCAGUGGUACAUACACAGUGUGUCACUUAGAAUCAGGAGGUAGAUUGCUAGGCACUGAGAAGGUUGCUUGCAUUAUGUUUAGCAUAAGUUCUAGGACAGCAUUAUUUUUUCAUUUUAGUUGAUUUUAGUUGAAUGGGCAUACAGGGACCAAUUUCCUGCUAGUACCUCUGAAAAUUAAAAAUAAAAAUAAGAAGAAGAUAAAUGUUCUAUCUUCCAGUUUCACCUGUUAGGCCCUGUUUUUCAUGUUCACAGUAAAGAUUAAAUUUUAUAGUUAACAACAGAGGUCAUAUUUUUAGAAAGUGCCAUUUUAGAGGUGGUGUGCCUUUCUGGCAGUGGAAGUAAAAUAUUGAGGAAGGCACUUCCGGUGCGCAGAACACACAGAAAGGGGUGAAGGCAUCAGAGAUGGUGGUGUGUCAUUAAAAGCAACAACUAUAAGCUCUCUGGCAUUUUGAAAAUAACGUAAGCUCAGUACUCAAAAUCAGUUCUGACAUUUCUUAUCACAGACGUCAAGGCAUGUAUAAAGUAGAGGGAAAAGCAUUUGUAUAUCUCCAUGUCCUUUCAAGUCCUGAAUCAGUCUGGCUUUCCGGAUGUCUCAUUCUUUCCAAUCAUGAGCCUCAUGCAGUAGCCGGGGCUCAGUGGACAGUCACUACAUUUGCAUUUAUUAUUCUAUGACAUCAUCAGUGACAGACAAGGAAUCUGAGGGUAAAAAGUGUAACUUUAGCUGUUACUUUUAAUGAAUUAGUCCCAGUGUCUUGUCUCUGCACCUGAGAUGACUUUUCAACCUCUUGGAUCUUUUGAUGUGUUCCUAAAGUACUUGAAAGUGACCAAAAGCUUCACUAGUCAAUCACGAGGAUGUCAAUAAAUCUGGAGUCAGUGAUGGGAGAGAAAUAAUUCUGCUUCUAAAGAAGGGAGCGUGGUGUGUAUAAACCCAUCGGAGACCCAUCCGGGUAACACUGUCUUAAGCUUUUGACAAAUUUCUACUCAGUGAGAAGUUAAAAGGACCAGUGUUUGUGUUGCUUGCUUAUUUGCCUUCUAAUAAAAAAAUUAAGUUGAAAAUCCCGUAGGCUAAGCAAUACAUUUUAUGAAAUGUCACCAGGUUUAUAUUAGUCAUCGCGGAUGUAGUCAGAGAUAUCACACAGAAACCAUCUUGAAAGAAAAAAAAAAGAUGAGGUGUACUUGGUGGCAAAGUCUGGAAUCUCUAAGCAGCGUUGGAAUAUUUUAUCCCAAUUUUCUUGUUUCCCGAGGUAUUUUCUGUCUGCCAAGCCCUCUGAAGUUUCCACACUUUAUAUUUACUUAAUAUUUGUUUUUAUGGUACAUAUGUUUCUACUCUGGUAUUUGCAGAGGUAUUCCUGAGAAACCACUAAGCUUUACAACUGGGAUGUAAAUGUGCACCAGGCUUAGCCUAAUGAGGAAUUCCACCUGAUAUUCCUGAUCCCGUCUCCCUCAUGUAUUCAUUGAUCUUCUGAGAUGUGUGGACUUAGCACUGACAGUCGGUGUGGAGGAGUUGGGGUGCUCUGUAAUGAUACAGUGGGAGGUCAUGACUAGUGAUGGUGAUGGUGGGGAGAACUGAGAGUCGAUGGGCACAUCCUUAGCGAUGGGUAUUUUUAUUCCACAAAAAGAGACUCUCUGAGAAGAAUGUGUCUGACAAUGACUUGGAAAGCCAUACACAUCUCCUCACAUGUACCCAGGAUGAUAAGCUGCUGUCCAUGUUAUACGUCAAAUGGAAUUACACAAGGCCACAUGAAUACACAGACACCUGGUUUUAUUUAUUUUUUUUAACAUCGAAUGAGCCAUGCUUAUCAGAGAAAAAUGCAGUGAGAUCUUUAAUAAUUAGGAAUAAAACUGCUUCACAAGUAGUAAAGCACUCGUUUGUUUUAAGCUUCCUUACGGUGUCCUUUCCACACAGGCAGUUGCCACAUGCUUGUAGUACCUGCAGUGGCCAGCAGAGUGAGUAAGAGCUGACCUCCUGGAGUUAUGUAGCUUGAGGGCCAUCACAUGGGUGCUGGGAACUGAACUCGGGUCCUCUGGAGGAGCAGUAAGUAUUCUUAACCACUGACUCAUCUCUCCAGCCACUGCCUCCCAAAUCAGUAUUUUUCUCAUGUUACUUUUGUGUUCUUAGUGAAUUUUAUGCUACAGUUCUAAAUGGUAUGAACUUUUGAGAAUUCUAUAAAAUUUAAGUUGCCAUAUUUUGCAAUUUAUUUUUGUAAUAUAGAACACCAAAAUCCAUAUGAAUUUUCAUCAGCCUGUACAUAUCUAAAAGUUAUUCAUUGUUUAUAUGAAACCCAAAUGUUUCUGAGCACCCUGUGUCUUACCUUAUGAUUCUAUACAAAGUAGCAAUCAGGGGCUACUAAAUGUGUACUCAAUAUCUUCAUAAUCUUAGGACUCAUUAAGGUAAUGUUUGAUAUGUAUGCAUUCUUUCUUUGCUAGAAAUGCAUAUUAUAAUUUUUCUCCUGGUAAGUAUUAUCAUAUUUUAUACAAAAUUUCCAAAAGAAAUACGAAGAAAUUUAAUUAGACUCAAGGGCAUGAAAAAGGUUUUCAAUCUGUGAUAUUAAUUGUAAAAUUAUACUACCAUCAUCUGUUUCUUUCCAGAACUAUAAUUACUUUUAAAAUCAUAGCCAACUUAGGUAAGUGCUAGCACACUUCUUUUAAGCUAAAUAGAAUGUAUCUUAAUGUAACAAUUUUAUGCUAAAAUACAAUUUCAUUAUUUACCUUUUUAAAACAGUAAAUUGCCAUGCAAUCAACCAGACCUGCUGCCUCUUCUUAGAAUUUUUCUAUUGUUUGACCCUUUCAUAUAUGUAUAUGAUGAAUUUAAGUCAUUUUCAUGCCCCACUCACCUCUCUCACUACUCCUCCUCCCUCUGCAAUGCUUCUUUUCAACAGGCCCCUCUCCUAUUUCUAUGCCUUCAAUUAGUGUGUGACCUACUGAAUUUAAUUAAAAUGCUUGCAUUAGCGUGGGUGGGAGGUUAUUGGCUGGAGCAGGGGCAACUUAUGAGCAGCUUCAUUCCUUAAUAAGAAAGAAAGUAAGAAAGGAAGGAAAGAAGGAAGGAAGGAAGGAAGGAAGAGAAAAGAAAACAAAAGAAAAAAGAAAAGAAAGAUAGCUCCUCUCCCAACACUGCCUAACUACUCAGUGUCCCUCACAGACAGGCCCUAAUGAGUUACUUCUUCAUCUAUGAUGAAUCGUUGGCUUGCACAGUGGUACAGGUAGUGUGCAUAUAAUCAUAGCAGCAAGGAGGUCCUGAGUGCAACAUCCCUGCCAUGUUCUUAUAGCAUCUUUCUGCUGGGUAUCUCCCCAUCCUCUGACUCUUACAGUCUUGCUCCCUCUUCCUGUGUGGUAUUUCCUGAGCCCUUUAGAGGGCGAUACAGAUGCCCCAUUUAGGGUCAAACACUCUAGCAUCACGAGUUCUCAGCACUUUUGGCAGUUACAGGUUUGUGUUUGCUGCAGGAAGACGUUCUUCUGAUGAUAGGUGGACCUUGUACUAACCUCCAGCGGCAAACUAGAACUGUGUGCACAACCUUUCUUAACACUCUCUGCAUCGCUCUACUCAGCAGUCUUUUGCCAGUGCAGAAUCUCGUAAUAAUUCACUUGACCUUUCCCUCAGCCCAGUCUUGUUUUCUCUCAAUCUCUCCAACGGGGCCAUACUUAUACUUGUAUAUAAAUCAGUUUAUCUACUCUCUAAACUAUGCAUCAGCCUAACUUUCAAUGACAUCACCUUUAAAUGCCUGUGAGGCAUGCAAUGUUUUUUGGUAUCUGGGCCAUCUGGUAUCCUAGCACACCUCCUACUCCUCACUGGACAGGUUUCUGUCUUCAGAACUAGCACAUAGCUUUAAGUAUACUUUGUUAUGUCACAGAUGCAGGUACUUGGCAAUUUCUCUUUCCUGUGCCCACAGAGUUCUGCCCUGCAUCCCUGGUAAAGGCUCAGCAGUGUGGCUAACAUCCUAUGAUCUCUCAUUUGUUCUCCCUGGGUGGAAAUGACCACGUUGUGCACCUGACUUAUACAGAAUCUUCUGUAACCAUGGAUCCCCAGAGACGAGCUCCCCGAGGGCAGAAAAUGAGUUCUAAUUACUUAGUUUCACUAGUUCAUAAGAUCCUAGUUGCAGUGGGUGAACAACUUGCGGCACCAGCAUCAGAGACAACAAUUUAUAGAGCAUGCAAAAUAGCGAGACACCCUGCUGAGUUCCUUUUAUCUGUUGUGGUGGUUUGAAUGUGCUGUUUUGAAAUGCCCCCCAUAGUUAUGAGCAGUCGAACACUUGGCUCCCACUUGGUGGUGCUGUAUGGGGUGUUUAGGAUGUAUAUAAUCUUAUAGCAAGGUGUAUGUCACUGGGGGUAGACUUUGAAUGUUUAAAUACUCAAGCCACUGCCAGAUUACUCUCUCUGCUUUGUGCUUGCAGUUCAAGAUAGUAGCCUCCAGCUUUCUUCUCCUGCCACCGGGCUUUUGCUUAACCAUCAUGGACCCUCAUUCUCUAGAACUAGAAGCCCUAUUAAAUUCCCUCUUCUAUAAGUUGAUGUGGUCAUGGUAUUCAAUCACAGCAACUGGAAACGUCUUUAUUAACCCCUGACAUCUUUAUACAAACCCAGCGAGCUAGGUUACAUCUUCACUCAAGUUUCCGACAAGGGAACUAAACUCCAUUUGCAUUGUGUGAAGGGAUCAUGGACAGAAAGGAUUCUGGCCUCUGUUCUGAAGAGGUUUUGAGGGAAGCUUAGAAAUAGAGGUACAGGUGCCAAUGUAGAGUGGUAGCAUGAGGAAGAAGACUAUGCACUGCUGGGAAGCAUAAAAACCCUGACCUAAAGGCUUGAAUUAUAAAGCUCUUGGCGUAUACACAGAUCUGCAUGUAGGGACAAAUGAGAACAAGCAGCCAUGAUCAGAAGCCAGUUUUCUAAGGCAAAUGUAAAUGAUAUAGACUUGUCUUUUAUGAAGUAGGAAGUUUUGACACAUGGCCUAUAUUAUAUGGCUAUACUGUGUGAAUUAGCAUAUUCGUAACUCCGUUUAUUAGCAUUUGACAUUGCUUUGGCUAUGGGUCCUACUCACAAUCCCUUCAGAAUAAACUGCUGAAUUAACCAUGUAGUGGGCUGGCCUGGUACUGCUUGUGAGCAUUUUAAUGCUCAGAUUAAACUGGUGCCCAAGAGACCAGAGAGUCUGCAGGCAGACGCUAGCUACGUGACUCUCCUCCAUCCCCGGUUAUUUCUGAUUUGUAAACAAAAGAUGCCAACAGGCAAUAGCUGGGCAGAAGAGAUGUAGGUGGAGUUAAGUUCCCUGGGUUUAGGGGAGAGAGGAACCCUGAGGAGGAGAAGUAGACGGUGAAGAGGAGAAAGGAAAAGCCACUAUACGUUAGGAGUAAAGAAAACAUGGCCUUAAGGGUUGACCAGUUGGAGUUAAGAGCAACCCAGAAGAAACAUAGUAAGUCAUAACUGAAGUAUCUGCUCAGCUCUUGUGCUGUUUAAGGCUUAUUGUAAAUGUAAAGGUUGUGUGUGAUUUUUUUUAAUCUGGGAACUAAAUGAUAAACUGCAGGAUAGAACCCCCUGGGUCAGGGUUAAAUAAUUUCUACAAAAAACCUCCUAUGUUUAUAAGCAGUCACCAAAAGCCUUCAGAGAAGAGACAGAUUUAAAAAAUGUGAAGGACCUGGGCAUGGUGGUAUUCCUGAUAGCUUAAUACCCUAGCAUUCAGGACACUGAGGCAGGAAGAUCACAAGUUCAAGGUCACAUAGCAAAAUUCUGUCUCAAAGUAAAGUACACAGAAGUCAGCAACAAGAUUAAAACAAAGGAGAAGUGCAGAAUAUUUCAAGGAUAUGCAAUGACGUUUGAACAAAAGAUAUUUAAGAAAAUUUAACAACUUUUGAAUGAUGCAAAGUCAUUAAGGAGAGAAUUAAAAUGUUAAAUCCUUAUCAAAAGGAAUUAUAAGAUGUUGGAGCUAUAAACAUGGCCUUCAGGGUCACACGGGUGAUGUUUACUUAAAAGAACUACUUAGAGAUGCAGUUUAGAGGUGAUGUUAAAGGUAUUUUGUUUGUAUGGUGAGGUAAAUUGAGCAACAGAGAGUCUUGCCUAUUAUUUAAGUGAUUUUGACACGCCAAAUUUUCCUGUGAUUGUGUAAGAAAGGAAUAAAAUGACUCCAGGUUUUAGAUUCCAAGGUACAAAGUUCUAAACCUCACAGAUUCCAAGUGCUCGCGCUGACACUUAGCAGACAUGCCAUGGUGCACACGUACCACAUCUUUUCAGAGCCUUGGCUGCUUCCUUAGACCAUAAAACAACCACGUAAAGUUGUAUGGGUGAAGUCAUAUAGGGUGUAUAGAGUGGCCUUGGUUUAUGACAUGGUGAGUAUCCCCAACAAACGUUAGCAACAUAGUAUUCCUCAUUGAAUAAACAUGAUCACUGGUCAGUAGAGCGUCUAAGAAUAUGUGUCAGAAAACAUUGAUCUUAUUAACUGCUGUCUGUGUGGAAUCUGGGGUCCUAUCUUGAAAAGCCUUCACUAUUACGUCAGAGAGUUUGGACUCCAUCUUAGACAAAAGCAGAGCUCCUGAUUGAUCAUGGGGACCGUGGAUGAAAACCUGUGUUUGAGGCAGCAGUGCCCAAUGAGUAGGGAAGAGCAGAGGACAGAUGGCAGGAGGCAAAGGGACUCAAAGUGAGGGCGGGAGAAAGACGUAUGAGGCCGAACACGACAGAUACACUAGAGUUGCCAAGAGCUGAAUGUGCCAAAGGAUCACCCAUGGUUCAUCUCACUUGCAUGCAUCAUAAACCAUAACAGAUGCAUUAAUUCACAAUUGACAUUUAAAAAGACUGCCACAUCAGCGUUUCAGAUCGACUUUGCUGUUACUAAGAAUAGAUGCAAUAUUGAUUUUGCCAUUUUCCGGUCAGACUUCACAUGUAUCACAGUUCAGGUAUUUAAGAAAAAAGUCUGUUUUAAGCACCCUUUAUUUCACCAACACACUCUUCCCACUUUGGAAAGGAAUUCACCUCCAUGAUUACAUUUAGUUUUCCCUCGGCAUCACUUUAUCUGAUCUCCUUUUGCAGCUGCCUGCCCUGGGCGGCUCAGGACCAGAUUACAUACAGGUCAGUGCUUUUGAAAGUGCCUCAAGGAAACUCUCCAAUCUGCCAUGCCAUCAUUUCCAUCAGGUUUCCAAGGAGAAGCUACAAUUCUCUUAAAUCAAUCAGCGAUAUGGUGGGAUCAAAGGGGUUUGAAUCCCAUGACAAGAUACUCAGCUUUACUGGAAAGUGGGCAUGGUUUGAACGUCUCCUUCCAAGUGAUUGUGCAACACUGUUGUAUUAACACUCCCGGCAAUAGGACUGGACCCGGAUGCCUUUGUUUUUAGUACAUCUUCUCAGACUGCAGCCAAUGUUUUCCUUUAAAUCCUCUAUUGGAAAUGAGUAUUUCUUCAGCUUCUUCCCAAGUAUCUACCUUACCUUCUCUCUUUUCGCCUACCCUUCCACUCUCCAUUCUCCAUUCUCCAUUGUCUCUCUCCCUCUCCUUCUCCCUCUCCCCCUCUCCCCCUUUCCUCCACUCCCUCUCUUUGUUCCCCCUCCCCCUAAGUCUGGGCAAUGCUCAUGUUUCUUGAUUUUGUUGUGAAAGUACUCUACCCCUGAGCUGCAUCCCCAGACCAAUUUUAUUUUUAUUUGGAAAAAGGGACCCAAUGGAUUGCCUAGGCUGGCACUGAAAUUAAAAUCCUCCCAACACGGGCUCCAGAGUAACUGGAAUUGCAUCUUCGUAUGUUUUAAAAAAAGAAAUCAAUUAUCUAAAGCACAUCAUAAUUUAGAUCCAAUAAUGAGUUCUUCACAGAUUUAGGCUGUCUUCCGGGAAAGAAAUUAUCAGGUACAUUGGGUAGAAAUUGUAGAAUAUUCACCCUCUAGAGUGCAUGGCUACUGGGAUGUGUGGCUUGGCCAACUGCAAAAAUUAUAGUCUGGUUUCUGAAUCAAGUUGUAGCCUGUUCAGUUAAUCCAAGUAAAACUCUUAAUACCAGUCCAUCUUGGGAAUAGUUUGCAGUUUCACUUGGAGAGGCUAGGACAUCUGCCUGGUCUCUCACUCCCUUGGAGAAUACAGGGCUAUCCUGGCUGGAUACUCUAAUCUAAGCUGCCAUGACUCUAAGAAAUGGACAGAGAUUUAUCAGUGACAGGUAAUUCUGAGGGUCUGUUUUCUUACUUCCUUUCUUCUUUCCUUCUUAAGUACAGUUGCAAAGGAACAUAUAUGUCUUAGCUUCUGUUAACUACUAGAUAGACUUUAGACAGACAUUUGGGCUUAGUGUUUUAAUCACAAACAUUUCUUCAGUAAUAACUACCUCACAGUCUGAUUGUGUCUUUUUAAAACCUAGAUUACUGAGAGUAUUUUUACGAGUUUGUGUAUGUGAAAGAGACCUAGCGUUCGCUGAGCAAAUCAGCAAAAGCUGUUGCCCUGACACCCACCAAAUGAAGCUGGUGGUAUAAUUAAUGGUCGGAUCUUCCAUCUGGAGACAUCCUGGGCAAAACACUAGGUCACUAAAGCCCCAUCAUUUUCAGAGAAAACAAUAAUAAGGCAAGGCAAUUCUGUAACUAUUUCCUCACUUGCUUCCUUUAGAUAAAAGGGAGGAACUACCUCUCCAUGUAGCCAGAGGGCUUCGAAAAGAGUGUUUAAAUCAAAUGCCAGAUGAACAAGACCUCAAGCAAAUCAUCUUGAAGGGCUGAUAGCAUCUAAACCUCCAAUGUUUUGUGGGUAGCAGAGUUUACAUGCAGCUCUUACAAAAAUGAAUCCCUGAAGCCUACAGAGGUCUUCUGUUACUGUGGGUCUAAGGCUUUGCAGAGCACAAUUGUCAUAACAAUGCUUAUAAGGGAACAGAAUAACAAACUAGUGCUUUAGUAUAUCUUAAACAGAGCUCCAAUCCGCCUCUAAUGUAAUCAAACAAGAAGGUAUUAAACACACACACACACAUACACACACACACACAUACACACAUACACACAUAUACACACAUGUACACACACAUAUACACACAUACACACAUAUACACACAUGUACACACAUAUACACACACAUACACACAUAUAUACACACACACUCAUACACACACAAACACACACAUACACACACAUACACACACAUACACACAUACACACACAUACAGACAUGCACACACAUACACACACAUACACACAUAAACACAUACACACACAUACACACAUACACACACAUACACACACAUACACACAUACACACACAUACACACACAUACACACAUACACACACAUACACACAUGCACACACAUACACACACAUACACACAUAAACACAUACACACAAACAUACACACAAACAUACACACACAUACACACAUACACACACAUACACACAUACACACACAUACACACACAUACACACAUACACACACAUACACACACAUACACACAUACACACACAUACACACAUGCACACACAUACACACACAUACACACAUAAACACAUACACACAAACAUACACACAUACACACACAUACACACAUACACACACACACACAUACACACAUACACACACACACAUACACACACAUACACACACACACACACACACACACAUACACACACACACACACACCCCUUUAACAUUUGUAUCAGUUUAGCAUUGAAUGAGAAGGGAGCAUAUACCCUUCAUUUUGUCAGCAAAAUAAUCUGCCCACACCAUUAUUAGAAGACUCCUUCCAAGUCAUUUCAAGUUACUUUGAAUCAAAAUGAUUUUAUUUUUUUUUCUGAGAAGGAAAUGUAUCCAACUUCAGAUGUGCAUUAAAAACCAUGGUCCAGCAAGAUAGCAAAUUCCAAUUUCCUAUGAUCAGAGAAUCUUAUUACCUUUAUCCCCUUGCUUCCUUCCUGUUCACAGGGCAAGUUAAAAGAUGCUUCUCAGUUAGAAUUUGUCUAGGUCUAUAUCCUCAUAAAUGCAAGGUGUUGUGCUGGGUACAGGUCAAGCAUUGAUCUAAAAAAAAUGUAAUAUUGAAGCUCUAGUUUAUUUCUGGUGCUGUUUAGAUUUCCCAUUUCCCCAUGUGUUGUUAAAUGUGCAGAUUGCAAAGCAACAUAUUGUAAGUGACAACUUUGCACAAUAGUGGGAAUCCGCAGAUGGUGUGUCUUUUCAAAUAUGACAAAUGCCCAAUUUAAUGCUGAUUUGUGGUGAUCAGGAAAAUGCUGCGAACUCUUUGGGCUCAGACAUGUCUUGACAGCAGAUCCACAGGGCAUGGUGCUCGUCAAAGUUAAAGGAUGCUCUUAAAGUAAUUCUAGUGGCUGUGAUUCUAUUGCAUGUGUCUUCGUCUGCUACAUAUAAAUAUAAUAGACUAUAUUAAUAAAUUAUAUUUAUUUUGGGUUCAUAACGAAAAGAAAUGCCGAAGUGCAGUAGUGACACAUAUGUCAGCAGAAGUGAGCUACCAUCUACAUGGAUUUAAGACCCUCUAAACAGAGGAAAGCCAUGCCUGAUAUCCUAAAUCUAGUGAGGCCAGUGAGGUCAUGAAUCUUAAAGGAGAACCUAUGAUUGCCAUUUUCCUAAAUCAGUCUAAUUCUUAACUACAGUCUAAAUAUGUGCCCUGAUAACUAAAGAGAAUAUAAUUCUUACCUUUCAUCAAGGAAGUUUACUUUGACAGCGACAGAAGUCAUUAUAGAAAGCUACAGCUGGUCAAAAUGCAAAGAACAACUGGCUGCAGGGGUUGCCCAGGCCCAAGUGAGCUGUCUACAACAGAACUUCUAUACCUCACACACAGUUACCAUCACUGAAGGGGAAGUGGAAAGACUGUUAGAACCAGAGGACCAGGAAAGCUUCUGUAAGGUUGUGCCUUUAUAUAAGACACAGAAGCCGGUCUUACGCAAUCUCAACGAUAUGUCUGCCCAAGGAAGACACAAACAACUCCAACACCUUAUGACAGCUCUCUGUGGAUGGGCAAAUGACGUAAAAUUCCACGGGCAGCACCUCUAGAUGAAGAGCUACAAUAAUCAGCGGCUGAGUGAGGGAGAAUUAGUCUUCCCCAGGCACGAACUCCUGCAUUUUAUCCAAUAAUAUUUUACCCAAUACUAAAUGAUCAUAGCUAAAUAAACAUAUACAUACAAGUAACACUAAGUGGAUUUAGAGGAUGUAUCUACAUAUUUAUUAAUAGAUAUUUAAAGAAAAAAGGUCAUGAAUUUUAGAGGGGGUCAGGUAGGAGACAUAUGGGAGAGAGUGGAGUUGAGGAGAGAAGGCAAAUGAUGGAAUAUUUAAAUUAAAAAUAAAAUUUUUAAAAAACAAACGAAACUCACAAAAGAAACUGUCUAGACUCUUUUUUUUUCUUUUCUUUUUUUCGGAGCUGGGGACCAAACCCAGGGCCUUGCGCUUGCUAGGCAAGCGCUCUACCACUGAGCCAAAUCCCCAACCCCUCUGUCUAGACUCUUAUUAAAUUCCCUCCUUUAGUAGAUUAGAAAGCCCAAAGUCAAGUAGAAGUUACCUGGUUAACGGAAGUCGAAUGGAAAGAUGAAUCAAGACAUGUAUUUUUAUCCCUAUGUCUUUCAAAUUCUGCAUGAAUCAACUGACUAAAUUACAACUUAAUCAAGAAACUACAGACAUACACUACCACUAUCAGUUCAAUGUUUUCCAACAAAAUACUGAGAUAUGGUGUGACAAAAGUACAUUCUUCCAUUAGUAGCACACUUUCCUUUUUCUAAUGACCACCAUCCAUUCAUUUGCUUCUAAUCAUUUUUUGGGGGGUAGGAAACAAUUUAUUAGGCAGGAGCUGAUACAGAGGCCAUAAAGGGGUGCUUGCUUCCCAUGGCUUCCUCAGCUUGCUAUCUUAUAGAACCCAGUACUACUAGCCCAGGGAUGGUACUACCCAGAGUAGGCUGGCUCUUCCUCCAUGAAUCAACAAUUAAUUAUAGCUGGAUCUUAAGAAGACAUUUUCUUGAUUGAUGCUCCUUCCUCUCUGAUGAUUAGAUUGUGACAAGUGUCUCCCUCAAUUACACUCAUAUAUAUAUAUAUAUAUGUAUAUAUAUAUAUAUAUAUAUAUAUAUAGAGAGAGAGAGAGAGAGAGAGAGAGACAGAGAAGGUCUCAGUGAAUUAAGUUCGCCAGUUUUGCUAGACUAGCCAGACAGCAAACCCCUUAGAGUUCUUCAUGCUAUCUAUUUUAAAGACUUGUCUGUUGCUAUGUAUUGUAUCUGUAUCCCAAGGUCUAGUUGCCUCUUUUUUUUUUAAACAUUUUUUUCCAUCUUUAAUAACUUGAGUAUUUCUUAUUUACAUUUUGAUUGUUAUUCCCCUUCCCAUUUUCCGGGUCAACAUCCCCCUAACCCCUCCCCCCUUCUA